rnacentral:tRNA from 1 species
GGGCAUAUAGCUCAGUUGGUAGAGUGCUUGCCUCACAUGCAUGAGGUCCUGGGUUCAAUCCCCAGCACCACCA